GAACCUCUGGUAUGCCGGUCGUCACGCCAGUGGCGCUGCCGGUUAGCUACGUUUGGAAGGGAUAACCGCUGAAAGCAUCUAAGCGGGAAGCCUGCUCCAAGAUUAGCAUUCCUUGCACUUUGUGUGUGAGCCCCCAUGUAGAACACGUGGUUGAUAGGCUGGAUGUGGAAGCCCUGUAAGGGGUGGAGCUGACCAGUACUAAUGGGCGAUUGUGAUACUACU
rnacentral:rRNA from 1 species